UCGGGAAUUUUGGGCAAUGGGCGAAAGCCUGACCCAGCAACGCCGCGUGAGGGAUGAAGUAUUUCGGUAUGUAAACCUCGAAAGAAUGGGAAGAAUAAAUGACGGUACCAUUUAUAAGCUCCGGCUAACUACGUGCCAGCAGCCGCGGUAAUACGUAGGGAGCAAGCGUUGUUCGGAUUUACUGGGCGUAAAGGGCGCGUAGGCGGCGCGGUAAGUCACUUGUGAAAUCUCUGAGCUUAACCCAGAACGGCCAAGUGAUACUGCUGUGCUAGAGUGCGGAAGAGGCAACCGGAAUUCUUGGUGUAGCGGUGAAAUGCGUAGAUAUCAGGAGGAACACCUGCGGUGUAGACAGCUUUCUGGACCAAAACUGACGCUGAGGCACGAAAGCGUGGGUAGCAAACA
rnacentral:rRNA from 1 species